rnacentral:rRNA from 1 species
GACGAACGCUGGCGGCGCGCCUAACACAUGCAAGUCGAGCGAUGAAAUUUUAACCGAUCUCUUCGGAGAGAAGAUAAAAUGGAUUAGCGGCGGACGGGUGAGUAACACGUGAGCAACCUGCCUUUCACAAGGGGAUAGCCUCGGGAAACCGGGAUUAAUACCCUAUGACACAUUUCCUUCGCAUGGAAGAAAUGUUAAAACUCCGGUGGUGAAAGAUGGUCUCGCGCCUGAUUAGCUAGUUGGUGGGGUAACGGCCCACCAAGGCCAUGAUCAGUAACCGGCCUGAGAGGGUGAACGGUCACAUUGGAACUGAGACACGGUCCAAACUCCUACGGGAGGCAGCAGUGGGGAAUAUUGCACAAUGGAGGAAACUCUGAUGCAGCGACGCCGCGUGAGCGAUGAAGGCUUUCGAGUCGUAAAGCUCUGUCCUAUGGGAAGAUAAUGACGGUACCAUAGGAGGAAGCCCCGGCUAACUACGUG